AACAACUCACCUGCCGAAUGAAUUAGCCCUGAAAAUGGAUGGCGCUGAAGCGAGCAGCCGACACCACACCGUCUGACCAAAUUUGGCGUUUCCAGAUGAGUAGGGGGACGUGCCGGUUGUAUAGAAGCGUACGGGCAACUGUGCGUGGAACGGCCGGUAGUGCAGAUCUUGGUUGUAGUAGCAAAUAUUCAAGUUCGAUCCUUGAAGGGCGACGCGGGGAAGGGUUCCACGCGAACAUUGAUUGAGCGUGGGUGAGUCGUUCCUAAGCCGAGGGGUGAUUCCCGUUAUACGGCGAAAGGGAAGCAGGUUGACAUUCCUGCACACGGAUGUGGAGGCGGUGACGCCCUUCUGGGGAGGUUACGUUGGCGGUGGCUCUGGGCAGAGUUUUCUUUUCUGUUUAACCGUCCAUCGCGCUGUGUGGAAUCCGCUUGUCGGGAGAAACACGCGCGAGCGGGCAUAGCGCCGGGGUUUUUCCGGCGUCCAGAUCGUCACCGACAGCCCUUGAAACACCUCUUGCUGGGGCAAGAUGCGCUUUUGCGCGUCUUGCUUGAAUAAUCCACGCCGUAACGUACCCAUAACCGCAUCAGGUCCCCAAGGUGAACAGCCUCUGCUCAAUAUGAUCAAU
rnacentral:rRNA from 1 species